ensembl:lncRNA
GGCCAUACUGGGAGGCCCUGGGUCAUACUGGGAGGCACGGGGUCAUACUGGGAGGAACUGGGAGGCACUGGGUCAUACUGGGAAGCACUGGGAGGCACUGGGUCAUACUGGGAGGCACUGUGUCAUACUGGGAGGCACUGGGUCCUACUGGGAGACACGGGGUCCUACUGGGAGGCAGUGGGUCCUACUGGGAGGCACUGGGAGGCACCAGGCCAUACUGGGAGGCACUGGGAGGCACUGUGUCAUACUGGGAGGCACUGGGCCAUACUGGGAGGCACUGGGCGGCACUGUGUCAUACUGGUCCCCCCCCCGGUUCCGCUGCGGCGGCCCAGAAGGAGGAGCGUUACAAACGGCACCGGCAGAAGCCACGGCACCGCGAGCGGAACCGGCACCAGGAGCGCUGCGACGCCCGCGACCCCGCGGGUUUGGGCCAAUGCCUGGGGCCCGGCUGCACCCGGCCCGCGCGCCCGCCUUCCAAGUACUGCAGCGAGGCCUGCGGGGUCAAACUGGCCGCCAAGUGAGUCGGGGGGGGGCGGCGCUGGGCACCACUGGGCACCAUUGGGCACCAUUGGGCACCAUUGGGCAGCAGGAUGCACCAUUGGGCACCACGAUGCACCAUUGGGCACCAGGAUGCACCACGAUGCACCAUUGGGCACCACGAUGCACCACGAUGCACCGUUGGGCACUAGGAUGCACCAGGAUGCACCACGAUGCACCACUGGGCACCACAAUGCACCAGGAUGCACCACUGGGCACCAUUGGGCACCACGAUGCACCAUUGGGCACCAGGAUGCACCAUUGGGCACCACUGGGCGCCAUUGGGCACCAUUGGGCACCAGGAUGCACCAUUGGGCACCAGGAUGCACCACUGGGCACCAUUGGGCACCACUGGGCACCACGAUGCAGCAUUGGGCACCACUGGGCACCACUGGGCACCACUGGGUACCACUGGGCACCACUGGGCACCAUUGGGCACCAGGAUGCACCAUUGGGCACCAGGAUGCACCACUGGGCACCAGUGGGUACCAUUGGGCACCAGGAUGUAUCAUUGGGCACCAUUGGGCACCAUUGGGCACCAUUGGGCACCACGAUGCACCAUUGGGCACCAGGAUGCACCAUUGGGUACCAUUGGGCACCACUGGGCACCAGGAUGCACCACUGGGCACCAUUGGGCACCAGGAUGCACCAGGAUGCACCAUUGGGCACCACGAUGCACCAUUGGGCACCAGGAUGCGCCACUGGGCACCAGGAUGCACCAUUGGGCACUAGGAUGCACUAUUGACCUUUCAGAGCGGAUCCCAAAGUGGAUCCCCACCAGAUCCCAGGGAUCCCGUACUCCUGCUAUCCUAUGGGGUGCUGUAGGGUGACCGGGAUCCCUCAAGGUCCCCUUAUUGCCCCUAUAUCUGCUAUGGAUCCCAACCUGACCUUCCAUGUGCAUCCCAGAGUGGAUCCCAGAGCGGAUCCCCACCAGAUCCCAGGGAUCCCAAGGCCCUGUUAUCCCACAGGAUGCUGUAUGGUACCCAGGACCUCUCAACGUUCCCCUACUGACCCUAAAUCUGCCCCAGAUCCCAACUGAUCCCACAGCAGAUCCCAUCCCAGAGCGGAUCCCCACCAGAUCCCCACGAUCCCAAAUCCUUGCUAUCUUCUAGGCUCUGUAGGAUGACUGGGAUCCCUCAGGCUGCCCCUAUGUCUGCUAUGGAUCCCAAUCUCAUGUUCCAUGUGGAUCCCAGAGCGGAUCCCAAAGCAGAUCCCCACCAGAUCCCAGGAAUCCCAAAUCCCUGCUACCUUACAGCCUCUAUAGGAUAACUGAGAUCUCUCAGGCUGUUCCUAUAUCUGCUAUGGAUCCCAACCUGACCUUCCAUGUGGAUCCCAAAGCGGAUCCCAAAGCAGAUCCCCACCAGAUCCCAGGGAUCCCAAAUCCCUGCUAUCUUAUAGGCUCUGUAGGAUGAUUGGGAUCCAUUAGGGUGCCCCUUUUGCCCCUAUAUCUGCUAUGGAUCCCAAUCUCAUGUUCCAUGUAGAUCGCAGAGUGGAUCCCAAAGCGGAUCCCCACCAGAUCCCAGAGAUCCCAAAUCCCUGCUACCUUACAGCCUCUAUAGGAUAACUGAGAUCUCUCGGGCUGCUCCUAUAUCUGCUAUGGAUCCCAACCUGACCUUCCACGUGGAUCCCAGAGCGGAUCCCAAAGUGGAUCCCCACCAGAUCCCAGGGAUCCCAAAUCCCUGCUACCUUACAGCCUCUAUAGGAUAACUGAGAUCUCUCGGGCUGCCCCUAUAUCUGCUAUGGAU